rnacentral:rRNA from 1 species
UACGUAGGGUGCGAGCGUUUGUCCGGAAUUAUUGGGCGUAAAGGGCUCGUAGGCGGUCUGUUGCGUCAGGAGUGAAAACUCGGGGCUUAACCCCGAGCCUGCUUCUGAUACGGGCAGACUAGAGGUAUGCAGGGGAGAACGGAAUUCCUGGUGUAGCGGUGAAAUGCGCAGAUAUCAGGAGGAACACCGGUGGCGAAGGCGGUUCUCUGGGCCUUACCUGACACUGAGGAGCGAAAGCGUGGGGAGCGAACAGG